UUAAACCAAAGUCGCAUGGCUCUGCAAGUCAUUUUAACUCGUGACAAAUCCUGGUAUAGAUUCUCCUGAUUCUCAAAUUGCCAAGUAAAACUGUCAGGGGAAUUACCCAUUGCUUUUCAUUUACCCCAGCGUCAUUUACCCGGAGAAAAUAACACGUUCUUUCCGCAUACUGGUCCCAGUCUUCGAUGGCAGGAUCCAGCUUCCCAAAUAGCGGCAUGAUGCUAGAAAUGCUGACCCCUAAUGCUUCACUCCCUCGGCAGCAGCUGCAGUGGGAGGAGCGACAGCGAGGACCAGAGGCCUGAUGGGAAGACUUUCGAGUGCAACAGAAAUGUACAUAGAAAAUCGAGGAGGAGAUGACAGAACGUAGCUUUAUGACAGUGAACCAAGCUGUAGUCGGAGAGGACGGGAGAAAGCAGUCGGGCUGGGGGUGGCAGCUGUUUCAGACACCAGACUAAAGUGUCAAAGCUUCCCUUUGGGAAUUCCCAAACAGAUUGAAGAUCUCUUGGCCGAGUGUGAAAAGCUGCAAUGACACAGGAUCGCCAAUAACUUGUCGGAAGUGAAAACCCAGCCAAACGUAUGAGAAGCGAAAACAUCAAGGAGUAGAACAACCCACUUUAGGCCAUGCGUGCAUCUUUCUGUGGUCAUCGCCAGACAGUCAGUGCUGUUGACAGAGAGAGUAUUGA